AAAGCAUCCGUAGCUGGCUAAGUUAGUCCCUUGUUAAAUCCACCGAAUUAAUCGUUGGAUUGCGGGGGAUACUGCUUGGCUAGGGGACGAGAGAGGCAGACGGUAUUUUCGGGGUAGGGGUGAAAUCCUAUAAUCCCGGGAAGACCACCAGUGGCGAAGGCUGUCUGCUAGAACGCGCCCGACGGUGAGGGAUGAAAGCUGGGGGAGCGAACCGGAUUAGAUACCCGGGUAGUCCCAGCUGUAAACGAUGCAGGCUAGGUGUUUGGACGGCCACGUGCCGUUCUAGUGCCGCAGGGAAGCUGUUAAGUCUGCCGCCUGGGGAGUACGAUCGCAAGAUUGAAACUUAAAGGAAUUGGCGGGGGAGCACGGGGCGGGGGCGGCGGGCCGGGCGCGGGGCGCGGCGGGCG
rnacentral:rRNA from 1 species